GAAAUGCGAUAAGUAAUGUGAAUUGCAGAAUUCAGUGAAUCAUCGAAUCUUUGAACGCACAUUGCGCCCCCUGGCAUUCCGGGGGGCAUGCCCGUUCGAGCGUCAUUAAAUCCAAUCAAGCCUGGCUUGGUAUUGGGCGGCGGGACUCUCCCGCGCCUCAAUUUCACCGGCUGGCCGUCGCCCGUCUUAGCGUUGUGACACACUUCUCGCUAGCGAUGGGAGCGGACCACGCCGUUAGAACCCAUGAAUUUCAAUCGAAAUUCGAUUAGGUUGACCUCGGAUCGGGUAGGAAUACCCGCUGAACUUAA
rnacentral:misc_RNA from 1 species